CUUUUAAUUCUUUGGGGAAGAUCCCCAGCAGUGGAAUAGCGGGGUCAAAUGGGACUUCCAGUCCAAGUUCUUUGAAGUAUCUCCAUACUGAUUUCCACAGUGCUUGCACCAGUCUACACUCCCACCAGCAGUGGAGCAGGGUUCCUCUUUCCCCACAGCCCCACCAGCAUUUGUUAUUGGUGGAUUUCAUGAUAGCAGCCAUUCUUUCCGGAGUGAAGUGGAAUCUCCGUGUUGUUUUCAUUUGCAUCUCUCAAAUGACCAGUGAUUACCCACAGAAUUUUAUAACAAUAACUCUACUCUUUGGCCAGUGAACAAUAGAGAAGUAGAUGGGUAGAAACAGACUCUCAAAAGAAAAGGAAUGACUACCAUUUUGCCUCCUCUGUGCAACACUCAGCCAUGGUCAUGGGUGGGCCGUAUUUCAUCAUAUUUACUCAGAGUAUAACUUGGGGGUGUGACAUCUGUAGUGGAAACUCAUCUGUGACUCAUGGAACCAUUUCCACUAUUUCUACACUGCUAGGAAAUUUCAGGACCCAGACUCUGGAAGCUCCCUAUAUAGUUGGAAGCCUUAAUAUCCUGAGUGUCAUUCCCCACCAUGUCACUCAAGAGAUAACAACAAACAUCUUUUGUGCUAAAAUUAAUUUCUCUCUCAUCUCACCUUGAGUAUAAUGAAAAGAGAUUUGCAUAAGGUAUGUAUCAGUGAAAAAAGGUAACUGAUUAGGUAAACUGGUCUAGAACUAAAUGCCCAUUAAAUGGCUUCACACAACAAUUUCCUAACUCAUUUUAAUUUCUUACAUGUCUUUUUUUUUGGUAAAAAAAAUGACAAAAUUUGCCAUCUUAACUAUGUAAGCAAACAGUACAGUAGUGGUAGUAUGAACUAUAUGCACACCGUUCCUUAUUUGUCUGCAGGGCUAGAGACACCUAGGGCCUUCUGAACGCUAGGCAAAGGCUCUGUCACUGAGCUAUGCCCUCAGCCACAUUAUUGUGCAACAGACCUCGAGAACUUCAUCUCAAAAUCUGAAGCUCUAUAUACUCAUUAAAUAAUGUCCCUUUGCCCCUUCCCCCAACACUCGGCAACCAAUCAUUCUAGUCCUUGUUCUUAAGAGUUUGAUCACUUUACCUAUUCACACAAGUAGACUAUCUUCCAUUUCUUGAGCACUGGAUGCAGAAAGUAUUUCCUUUGUCUGACAAAUGGAUAGAGUCUUGAAGGAGAACUACUCCUCUUAGUGUGUUGCUUGCCUCACUUAAUUUUAUUUACAAAUAUUCAUCUAUGACAUAAUAAAAAUACCACAAUUGACUUGCUAAACUCA
ensembl:lncRNA